UACAGAGGGUGCGAGCGUUAAUCGGAAUUACUGGGCGUAAAGCGUGCGUAGACGGUUAGAUAAGUCGGAUGUGAAAGCCCCGGGCUCAACCUGGGAAUUGCAUUCGAGACUGCCUAGCUAGGAUGCGGAAGAGGGAAGCGGAAUUUCCGGUGUAGCGGUGAAAUGCGUAGAUAUCGGAAGGAACACCAGUGGCGAAAGCGGCUUCCUGGUCCAGCAUCGACGUUCAGGCACGAAAGCGUGGGGAGCAAACAGGAUUAGAUACCCUGGUAGUCCACGCCAUAAACGAUGACAACUAGACGUUGAGAGGGUAAGCCUCCCAGUGUCGCAGCUAACGCGUUAAGUUGUCCGCCUGGGGAGUACGGCCGCAAGGUUGAA
rnacentral:rRNA from 1 species